ACUCCUACGGGAGGCAGCAGUGGGGAAUAUUGCACAAUGGGCGCAAGCCUGAUGCAGCCAUGCCGCGUGUGUGAAGAAGGCCUUCGGGUUGUAAAGCACUUUCAGUUGUGAGGAAGGUGGUGUCGUUAAUAGCGGCAUCAUUUGACGUUAGCAACAGAAGAAGCACCGGCUAACUCCGUGCCAGCAGCCGCGGUAAUACGGAGGGUGCGAGCGUUAAUCGGAAUUACUGGGCGUAAAGCGCAUGCAGGUGGUUUGUUAAGUCAGAUGUGAAAGCCCGGGGCUCAACCUCGGAACUGCAUUUGAAACUGGCAGACUAGAGUACUGUAGAGGGGGGUAGAAUUUCAGGUGUAGCGGUGAAAUGCGUAGAGAUCUGAAGGAAUACCGGUGGCGAAGGCGGCCCCCUGGACAGAUACUGACACUCAGAUGCGAAAGCGUGGGGAGCAAACAGGAUUAGAUACCCU
rnacentral:rRNA from 1 species